rnacentral:rRNA from 1 species
AAAAAAGGUAAGCUACUAAGAGCGAAUGGUGGAUGCCUUGACUGGUAAAGGCGAUGAAGGACGUACUAGACUGCGAUAAGCUACGGGGAGCUGUCAAGAAGCUUUGAUCCGUAGAUUUCCGAAUGGGGCAACCCAAUGUAUAGAGAUAUACAUUACCUAUAUAGGAGCGAACGAGGGGAAUUGAAACAUCUUAGUACCCUCAGGAAAAGAAAUCAAUAGAGAUUGCGUCAGUAGCGGCGAGCGAAAGCGCAAGAGGGCAAACCCAGUGCUUGCACUGGGGGUUGUAGGACUGCAAUGUGCAAGAGGUAAGUUUAGCAGAACAUUCUGGAAAGUAUAGCCAUAGAGGGUGAUAGUCCCGUAUGCGAAAAACAAACCUUAGCUAGCAGUAUCCUGAGUAGGGCGGGACACGAGGAAUCCUGUCUGAAUCCGGGUCGACCACGAUCCAACCCUAAAUACUAAUACCAGAUCGAUAGUGCACAAGUACCGUGAGGGAAAGGUGAAAAGAACUGAGGUGAUCAGAGUGAAAUAGAACCUGAAACCAUUUGCUUACAAUCAUUCAGAGCCCUAUGUAGCAAUACAGGGUGAUGGACUGCCUUUUGCAUAAUGAGCCUGCGAGUUGUGGUGUCUGGCAAGGUUAAGCAAACGCGAAGCCGUAGCGAAAGCGAGUCUGAAUAGGGCGCUUAGUCAGAUGCUGCAGACCCGAAACGAAGUGAUCUAUCCAUGAGCAAGUUGAAGCUAGUGUAAGAACUAGUGGAGGACUGAACCCAUAGGCGUUGAAAAGCCCCGGGAUGACUUGUGGAUAGGGGUGAAAGGCCAAUCAAACUUCGUGAUAGCUGGUUCUCUCCGAAAUAUAUUUAGGUAUAGCGUUGUGUCGUAAUAUAAGGGGGUAGAGCACUGAAUGGGCUAGGGCAUACACCAAUGUACCAAACCCUAUCAAACUCCGAAUACCUUAUAUGUAAUCACAGCAGUCAGGCGGCGAGUGAUAAAAUCCGUCGUCAAGAGGGAAACAACCCAGACUACCAGCUAAGGUCCCUAAGUCUUACUUAAGUGGAAAACGAUGUGAAGUUACUUAAACAACCAGGAGGUUGGCUUAGAAGCAGCCAUCCUUUAAAGAAAGCGUAAUAGCUCACUGGUCUAGUGAUUUUGCGCGGAAAAUAUAACGGGGCUAAAGUAAGUACCGAAGCUGUAGACUUGCACACAACUUAGAUUAUUUAAGUUUAGAAUAUGAGAAACUAAGUUAUAUGUUUAGUUAUAUUUUUACUGAUUUUUAUAGAGUAAAGAUAGAAAUAAAACUUAGUGAAAUCAGUAAAAAUAUUCUUAGGCUAAAGUUAAGUAGUUUAAGUUGUGUGCAAGUGGUAGGAGAGCGUUCUAUUUGCGUCGAAGGUAUACCGGUAAGGAGUGCUGGAGCGAAUAGAAGUGAGCAUGCAGGCAUGAGUAGCGAUAAUUAAUGUGAGAAUCAUUAACGCCGUAAACCCAAGGUUUCCUACGCGAUGCUCGUCAUCGUAGGGUUAGUCGGGUCCUAAGUCGAGUCCGAAAGGGGUAGACGAUGGCAAAUUGGUUAAUAUUCCAAUACCAACAUUAGUGUGCGAUGGAAGGACGCUUAGGGCUAAGGGGGCUAGCGGAUGGAAGUGCUAGUCUAAGGUCGUAGGAGGUUAUACAGGCAAAUCCGUAUAACAAUACUCCGAGAACUGAAAGGCUUUUUGAAGUCUUCGGAUGGAUAGAAGAACCCCUGAUGCCGUCGAGCCAAGAAAAGUUUCUAAGUUUAGCUAAUGUUGCCCGUACCGUAAACCGACACAGGUGGGUGGGAUGAGUAUUCUAAGGCGCGUGGAAGAACUCUCUUUAAGGAACUCUGCAAAAUAGCACCGUAUCUUCGGUAUAAGGUGUGGUUAGCUUCGUACUAGGAUUUACUCCGAAAGCGAAGAAACUUACAACAAAGAGUCCCUCCCGACUGUUUACCAAAAACACAGCACUCUGCUAACUCGUAAGAGGAUGUAUAGGGUGUGACGCCUGCCCGGUGCUCGAAGGUUAAUUGAUGGGGUUAGCAUUAGCGAAGCUCUUGAUCGAAGCCCGAGUAAACGGCGGCCGUAACUAUAACGGUCCUAAGGUAGCGAAAUUCCUUGUCGGUUAAAUACCGACCUGCAUGAAUGGCGUAACGAGAUGGGAGCUGUCUCAAAGAGGGAUCCAGUGAAAUUGUAGUGGAGGUGAAAAUUCCUCCUACCCGCGGCAAGACGGAAAGACCCCGUGGACCUUUACUACAGCUUGACACUGCUACUUGGAUAAGAAUGUGCAGGAUAGGUGGGAGGCUUUGAGUAUAUGACGCCAGUUGUAUAUGAGCCAUUGUUGAGAUACCACUCUUUCUUAUUUGGGUAGCUAACCAGCUUGAGUUAUCCUCAAGUGGGACAAUGUCUGGUGGGUAGUUUGACUGGGGCGGUCGCCUCCCAAAUAAUAACGGAGGCUUACAAAGGUUGGCUCAGAACGGUUGGAAAUCGUUCGUAGAGUAUAAAGGUAUAAGCCAGCUUAACUGCAAGACAUACAAGUCAAGCAGAGACGAAAGUCGGUCUUAGUGAUCCGGUGGUUCUGUGUGGAAGGGCCAUCGCUCAAAGGAUAAAAGGUACCCCGGGGAUAACAGGCUGAUCUCCCCCAAGAGCUCACAUCGACGGGGAGGUUUGGCACCUCGAUGUCGGCUCAUCGCAUCCUGGGGCUGGAGCAGGUCCCAAGGGUAUGGCUGUUCGCCAUUUAAAGCGGUACGCGAGCUGGGUUCAGAACGUCGUGAGACAGUUCGGUCCCUAUCUGCCGUGGGCGUAAGAAGAUUGAAGAGAUUUGACCCUAGUACGAGAGGACCGGGUUGAACAAACCACUGGUGUAGCUGUUGUUCUGCCAAGAGCAUCGCAGCGUAGCUAAGUUUGGAAAGGAUAAACGCUGAAAGCAUCUAAGCGUGAAGCCAACUCUAAGAUGAAUCUUCUCUAAGCUCUCUAGAAGACUACUAGUUUGAUAGGCUGGGUGUGUAAUGGAUGAAAGUCCUUUAGCUGACCAGUACUAAUAGAGCGUUUGGCUUAUCUUUAAUAAAGCAU